AUUGAACGCUGGCGGCAUGCCUUACACAUGCAAGUCGAACGGUAACGGGCCUUCGGGUGCCGUCGAGUGGCGGCCGCGUGCGUAAUAGAACGGAAUGUGCAAGCUCGUGGGGGAUAUCGAGGCGAUAGCUUUGACAAUAGCUCAUACCAUAUAAGAUUGUGAACAGGGUGGCGCAAGGCUUUGAGCCGGUGUUGCGGCCGCUGCUAGAUUAGUUAGUUGGUAGGAUAAUAGCUUACCAAGUCGACGCUGUGUAGCUGAUCUGAGAGUAUGAUCCGCCACACUGGAACUGAGACACGGUCCAGACUCCUACGGGAGGCAGCAGUAGGGAAUCUUCGACAAUGGGCGAAAGCCUGACGGAGCAACGCCGCGUGAAGGAUGAAGGUCUUCGGAUCGUAAAACGCUGUUAUACGGAAAGAAAAGACUUGUAAGAAAAUAGGAAGGUCAUGACGGUACCGUAAGAGUAAGCAACGGCUAACUACGUG
rnacentral:rRNA from 1 species